CUUGACAUCCUUUUAGGCUUUUCCCCAGGCCUAGACUCUCCUGGGUUUCUUAAUAUCGUCUCAAAAAAGCAAGUGGGAACUCCAUGCUUUUUCUUUUCCUUUUUUUGAAAAAAAUGGUUGUUCUAGGUUACAAGAAAAUAAGAGAAGAAAAAAUAGGUUUUAGCAAAAAUAAAAAAUUAUAAAUUGUAAGUGUAGCAGAG
rnacentral:lncRNA from 1 species